GACGAACGCUGGCGGCGUGCCUAACACAUGCAAGUCGAGCGAUGAAACCCUUCGGGGUGGAUUAGCGGCGGACGGGUGAGUAACACGUGGGUAACCUGCCUCAAAGAGGGGGAUAGCCUCCCGAAAGGGAGAUUAAUACCGCAUAACAUUAGUUUUUCGCAUGAAGAACUAAUUAAAGGAGUAAUCCGCUUUGAGAUGGACCCGCGGCGCAUUAGCUAGUUGGUGAGGUAAAGGCUCACCAAGGCGACGAUGCGUAGCCGACCUGAGAGGGUGAUCGGCCACAUUGGAACUGAGACACGGUCCAGACUCCUACGGGAGGCAGCAGUGGGGAAUAUUGCACAAUGGGCGAAAGCCUGAUGCAGCAACGCCGCGUGAGUGAUGAAGGCCUUCGGGUUGUAAAGCUCUGUCUUUUGGGACGAUAAUGACGGUACCAAAGGAGGAAGCCACGGCUAACUACGUGCCAGCCGCCGCGGUAA
rnacentral:rRNA from 1 species